UACGUAGGGAGCAAGCGUUGUCCGGAAUCAUUGGGCGUAAAGCGCGCGUAGGUGGCCCCGUAAGUCCGCUGUGAAAGUCAAAGGCUCAACCUUUGAAAGCCGGUGGAUACUGUGGGACUAGAGUACGGAAGAGGCGAGUGGAGUUCCUGGUGUAGCGGUGGAAUGCGCAGAUAUCAGGAGGAACACCAAUAGCGAAGGCAGCUCGCUGGGACGUUACUGACACUGAGGCGCGAAAGCGUGGGGAGCGAACAGG
rnacentral:rRNA from 1 species